UUCGAGCGUCACUGAUGAGUCUUUUGUAGACGAAACGCGCGUCUGGCGUAUAUACAAAAUUUAGUCCUGGUAUCUAUGAUGAGUUUAUUGAUAAGGUUUCAAUGUUUAAUCCAUAUAUUUGUUGUUUUAUGAUUCGUAGGCAGUUCUUUUCUUUAGUUCUUCUUCAUUUGUUCAAGGUCGGACUAGGCGCAUUUAUCUCUGGUCAUAUUUGAAACAAUCGGUACAGAAUCAAUAAAAU
rnacentral:lncRNA from 1 species